rnacentral:snoRNA from 10 species
CAGCCAGUAAAUAAAUCUGCUUAGUUGAAUGUGUUGGCAGAAUUUAGAAAUAGCUGGCAAUAGUAAAACCAUGUUAUGAGCCUUUAUGGCAUUGAGGUUGUUAAGGUCCCUUAAAGUAACUACAGAA